GGUUGUCGUGAUGGGCGUAUGGUGGAUGCCUUGGCAGACAGUACCGAUGAAGGACGUGUGGGGCCGCGAUAGUCCUGGGGGAGCCGCCGACAUGGCUUUGAUCCCAGGGUGUCCGAAUGGGGCAACCCGCCAGCCGUCAUGGGCUGGCACCGCACUUGUGCGGGGGGUACGCAGGGAAGUGAAACAUCUCAGUACCUGCAGGAGAGGAUACUCCGUGAGUAGUGGCGAGCGAAAGCGGAUGAUGGCUAAACCGUGCGCGUGUGAUACCCGUCGGGGGUUGCGCGCAUGGUGUCGUGGGAACGCCUGUCCAACGGCCGACGCCGUUGGCUGUGGUGAUAAAUGCAUGCGUGAGGCGAACCGGGUUGGAUACCGGGCCGUAGAGGGUGAUGGCCCCGUAGCCGUAUGCGCGUGCACCAUGGAUGGUGUCUCCCGAGUAGCGCGGGACUCGUGGAAUCCCGUGUGAAUCCGCCCGGACCGUCGGGUAAGCCUGAGUAUACCUGUCUGACCGAUAGCGUACGAGUACCGUGAGGGAAAGGUGAAAAGCACCCCGGGGAGGGGAGUGAAAGAGUUCCUGAAACCGUGCGCCCGCGAACCGUCGGAGCCCCCUUGSUGGGGUGACGGCSUGCCUAUCGAAAAAUGAGUCUGCGAGUCAGUGGCAUGUGGCGAGCAUAAGCCGUGUGGUGUAUGCGUAGCGAAAGCGAGUCUUAAAAAGGCGUCUUUUCAGUCGCGUGUCCUGGACCCCGAAGCGGGAUGAUCUAGCCCUGGUCAGGUUGAAGCGCGGGUAAGACCGCGUGGAGGACCGCACCCACUUAGGUUGAAAACUGAGGGGAUGAACUGGGGUUAGGGGUGAAAGGCCAAUCAAAUUCCGUGAUAGCUGGUUCUCUUCGAAAUGCAUUUAGGUGCAGCGUCGGUUGAUUGCGUGUGGGGGGUAGAGCUACUGGAUGCUUGCGGGCCCGUGCCGGGUACCAACAGCAACCAAACUCCGAAUACCCAUCGCGUCUAUUCCGGCAGUGAGUCGGCGGGGGAUAAGCUCCGUCGUCGAGGGGGAGACAGCCCUGACCGUCGUCUAAGGUCCCCAAGCGCGUGCUAAGUGGGAAAGGAUGUGGAGUCGCAUAGACAGCCAGGAGGUUGGCUCAGAAGCAGCCAUCCUUGAAAGAGUGCGUAACAGCUCACUGGUCUAGUGGUUCCGCGCCGACAAUGUAGCGGGGCUCAAGCACGCCACCGAAGACGCGGAUGCGGCCGUAUGGCCGUGUGGUAGGAGAGCGUCCCACACCGGGGCGAAGCGGCGGGGGAACCCGGCCGUGGACUGUGUGGGAGUGAGAAUGCAGACAUGAGUAGCGAGAGCAGGGUGAGGAUCCCUGCCGCUGGAAGACCAAGGGUUCCAGGGCCACGUUCGUCGUCCCUGGGUGAGUCGGGUCCUAAGGCGAGGCCGACAGGCGUAGUCGAAUGGAUGAACGGGUCGAUAUUCCCGUACCGGCUUUCGGACCGACCAACAGCCCGUGUGAACAAGGGCCAUCCGAUACGGUUGAUGGGGGCUUCGGCCUCCUGAUUCCGUUGCUGUUUGGCCUGGACGCGCAUGGGUUGAGCGUUUCAGGAGUGACGCGGACGGGUAGCCGGCCGGGGAGGUGGUUUUCCCUGGUCAAGCGUGUGGCCCCGCCCCCAGGCAAAUCCGGGGGCUUCAUGGGGUGAGGCGUGAUGAUGGGCGCUUUCAUGGCGUGAUAUCCGGUGAUCCCGUCGGCCGAGAAAAGCUUCGGCGCGAGGUCCGUUGCCGCCCGUACCCCAAACCGACACAGGUGGUCUGGUAGAGUAUACCGAAGCGAUCGAGCGAAUCCUGGUCAAGGAACUCGGCAAAUUGCUCCCGUGCCUUCGGCAUAAGGGAGACCCCCGGCCGUGCCGGCCCCUUGCGGGUCGUGGGCGGCUGGGGGUGGCACAGGCCAGGGGGUAGCGACUGUUUACCAAAAACACAGGUGCAUGCCAAGACGCAAGUCGCCGUAUAUGCACUGACGCCUGCCCGGUGCCGGAAGGUUAAGAGGAUCCAUCAGCGUCCCCUCGCGGGAUGCGAAGUGGUGAAUUCAAGCCCCGGUAAACGGCGGUGGUAACUAUAACCAUCCUAAGGUAGCGAAAUUCCUUGUCGGGUAAGUUCCGACCUGCACGAAUGGCGUAACGACUUCCCGCUGUCUCGACCAGGAGCUCGGCGAAAUUGCAGUACGAGUAAAGAUGCUCGUUAAGCGCAGAAGGACGAAAAGACCCCGGGACCUUUACUAUACCUUGGUAUUGGCAUCAGGUGCGGAUUGUGUAGCAUAGGCGGGAGGCUUCGAAGCCGCGGCGCCAGCCGUGGUGGAGCCGGCCAGUGAAAUACCGCUCUGUCCCCAUCUGAUGCCUAACCCGGACAAGUCAGCCUUGUCGGGGAGAGUGCCUGGCGGGUAGUUUAACUGGGGCGGUUGCCUCCCAAAGAGUAACGGAGGCGCUCAAAGGUCCGCUCGGCCCGGUUGGCAAUCGGGUGUCGAGUGUAAUCGCACAAGCGGGCUUGACUGCGAGAUCGACGGAUCGAGCAGGGACGAAAGUCGGAGAUAGUGAUCCGGUGCCGGCGUACGGACGCGGCAUCGCUCAACGGAUAAAAGGUACCCCGGGGAUAACAGGCUGAUCAUUCCCAAGAGUCCAUAUCGACGGGAUGGUUUGGCACCUCGAUGUCGGCUCGUCGCAUCCUGGGGCUGGAGCAGGUCCCAAGGGUUCGGCUGUUCGCCGAUUAAAGCGGCACGCGAGCUGGGUUCAGAACGUCGUGAGACAGUUUGGUCUCUAUCCUCUGCGCUCGUUGGAAUCCUGAGGAGGCCUGCCCAUAGUACGAGAGGACCUGGGUGGACGAACCUCUGGUAUGCCAGUUGUCGCGCCAGCGGCACGGCUGGUUGGCCACGUUCGGGAGGGAUAACCGCUGAAAGCAUCUAAGCGGGAAGCCCGCUCCAAGAUAAGGAUUCCUGACACCCCCCCCGGGGGUGUGUGAGACCCCAUAGAGAACAUGUGGUUGAUAGACCGGACGUGGAAGCCCCGCGAGGGGUGGAGCCGACCGGCACUAACGGUCGAAGACAACCAACACCACCAUGACGAAGCCGGAAAACCCCGGCGGCAUCACGG
rnacentral:rRNA from 1 species